GUUGAGCAGAAAUUGGAACGGAGGACGACCGAGUUUGAAGGAUUAGCUGUACCUGAGUAUCUGAGUUUCUGAGUUUCAAGAAGAAUUUAGUUCAGCUUCUGCCACCCCGAGUUGUUCAAGAAUUGCAUAUCUCUUUGUAUGUAGUUUAGUUGGUUUGUAAGAAAUUUUAUCUGCAUUCUGUUGAUAGGAAAAGAAUGUAUAGAAUGGAUGUAAGAAUGAUUGUUUGGUUAAGAUUAAUAUUUUAUUGUGCA